UGUUACCUUCAUCGUCUUUGACGAUGGCGACCUCCAGUUCUAGGGUUCAUCCUGUUUUCGAGCUCUAUUUAGUUAAAUCGUCAAUGGAGUUUCGGUAGGGUGAUGUGAGACAAAUCUCGGUGACGUAUCCUUGGACCAAGCUGCUAUCAUGUCGUUUCGACUGAAUUUCUUCAUCUCAAAACCGUUACAGGGCGGUAGAUCUCUAACUAUAAAAAGGUGAGUCUUGGACCCGUAGACAGAUCCUUCUCCAAAAAUACUCUGGAGAUUCUGCAAACAAAGGUUUGCUUCUCCGUCUCCGGUAAACACAUCAGAUCUGCUCUCUCGAGACGGCAUGGCUCUGUGAAGCAGAACUCUGCGACGAUCCCUGAAUAUAGCAAAGCGGAAGGAGGCGGAGUGGUUUUGGAUACGAGCUUUGGUGAUGAAUUUGGUCGUGCCCAUUUUGGAUACACACCUACUGUUAAGUUUAAGAAAGGUGAUAACAAAGGACUACAAGUUGCUGUAAAAGUUAUUCCAAAACCAAAGUUGUGUGGAGAGAAAUGAAGAUCUUGAGAGCUCUGUCUGGUCAUGAUAACCUUCCUCAUUUCUAUGAUGCAUAUGAGGAUCAUUGAUAAUGUCUAUAGUGAAUGUAGUGAUAAUGCAAGUGAUUUGUUGUUUUAGGCUACGUGAAGGAGGAGAGCUUUUCGAUAGAUACU